UGCAGUCGAGCGAACAGAUAAGGAGCUUGCUCCUUUGACGUUAGCGGCGGACGGGUGAGUAACACGUGGGUAACCUACCUAUAAGACUGGGAUAACUUCGGGAAACCGGAGCUAAUACCGGAUAACAUUUGGAACCGCAUGGUUCUAAAGUGAAAGAUGGUUUUGCUAUCACUUAUAGAUGGACCCGCGCCGUAUUAGCUAGUUGGUAAGGUAACGGCUUACCAAGGCGACGAUACGUAGCCGACCUGAGAGGGUGAUCGGCCACACUGGAACUGAGACACGGUCCAGACUCCUACGGGAGGCAGCAGUAGGGAAUCUUCCGCAAUGGGCGAAAGCCUGACGGAGCAACGCCGCGUGAGUGAUGAAGGGUUUCGGCUCGUAAAACUCUGUUAUUAGGGAAGAACAAACGUGUAAGUAACUGUGCAUGUCUUGACGGUACCUAAUCAGAAAGCCACGGCUAACUACGUGCCAGCAGCCGCGGUAAUACGUAGGUGGCAAGCGUUAUCCGGAAUUAUUGGGCGUAAAGCGCGCGUAGGCGGUUUCUUAAGUCUGAUGUGAAAGCCCACGGCUCAACCGUGGAGGGUCAUUGGAAACUGGGAAACUUGAGUGCAGAAGAGGAAAGUGGAAUUCCAUGUGUAGCGGUGAAAUGCGCAGAGAUAUGGAGGAACACCAGUGGCGAAGGCGACUUUCUGGUCUGUAACUGACGCUGAUGUGCGAAAGCGUGGGGAUCAAACAGGAUUAGAUACCCUGGUAGUCCACGCCGUAAACGAUGAGUGCUAAGUGUUAGGGGGUUUCCGCCCCUUAGUGCUGCAGCUAACGCAUUAAGCACUCCGCCUGGGGAGUACGACCGCAAGGUUGAAACUCAAAGGAAUUGACGGGGACCCGCACAAGCGGUGGAGCAUGUGGUUUAAUUCGAAGCAACGCGAAGAACCUUACCAAAUCUUGACAUCCUUUGAAAACUCUAGAGAUAGAGCCUUCCCCUUCGGGGGACAAAGUGACAGGUGGUGCAUGGUUGUCGUCAGCUCGUGUCGUGAGAUGUUGGGUUAAGUCCCGCAACGAGCGCAACCCUUAAGCUUAGUUGCCAUCAUUAAGUUGGGCACUCUAGGUUGACUGCCGGUGACAAACCGGAGGAAGGUGGGGAUGACGUCAAAUCAUCAUGCCCCUUAUGAUUUGGGCUACACACGUGCUACAAUGGACAAUACAAAGGGCAGCUAAACCGCGAGGUCAUGCAAAUCCCAUAAAGUUGUUCUCAGUUCGGAUUGUAGUCUGCAACUCGACUACAUGAAGCUGGAAUCGCUAGUAAUCGUAGAUCAGCAUGCUACGGUGAAUACGUUCCCGGGUCUUGUACACACCGCCCGUCACACCACGAGAGUUUGUAACACCCGAAGCCGGUGGAGUAACCAUUUAUGGAGCUAGCCGUCGAA
rnacentral:rRNA from 1 species